rnacentral:rRNA from 1 species
CCUACGGGAGGCAGCAGUGGGGAAUAUUGGACAAUGGGGGCAACCCUGAUCCAGCCAUGCCGCGUGUGUGAAGAAGGCCCUCGGGUUGUAAAGCACUUUCAGUGAGGAAGAACGCCUGGUGGUUAAUACCCAUCAGGAAAGACAUCACUCACAGAAGAAGCACCGGCUAACUCCGUGCCAGCAGCCGCGGUAAUACGGAGGGUGCGAGCGUUAAUCGGAAUUACUGGGCGUAAAGCGCGCGUAGGUGGCUUGAUAAGCCGGUUGUGAAAGCCCCGGGCUCAACCUGGGAACGGCAUCCGGAACUGUCAAGCUAGAGUGCAGGAGAGGAAGGUGGAAUUCCCGGUGUAGCGGUGAAAUGCGUAGAGAUCAGGAGGAAUACCAGUGGCGAAGGCGGCCUUCUGGACUGACACUGACACUGAGGUGCGAAAGCGUGGGUAGCAAACAGGAUUAGAUACCCGUGUAGUC